UACGGAGGGGGCUAGCGUUAUUCGGAAUUACUGGGCGUAAAGCGCACGUAGGCGGCUUUGUAAGUCAGGUGUGAAAGCCCCGGGCUCAACCUGGGAAUUGCAUUUGAGACUGCAUAGCUAGGGUGCGGAAGAGGGAAGCGGAAUUUCCGGUGUAGCGGUGAAAUGCGUAGAUAUCGGAAGGAACACCAGUGGCGAAAGCGGCUUCCUGGUCCAGCACCGACGUUCAGGCACGAAAGCGUGGGGAGCAAACAGG
rnacentral:rRNA from 1 species